CUCUUGCACACGACCGUAUGCCCUCCGAGACAUACGGUCCGUGAUCGGGCCAUAUGUCCCAGAGCGGCAUUGAUCGUGCGCACGGGAGCGCACAGCAUCAUAGAUUACAAUGAUACUGUGCACGUUGGGCCGCCCGCGAUGCUAUUGACCAGUGUGAAAGAGGCCU